rnacentral:rRNA from 1 species
CGGCACGGGUGAGUAACACGUAUCCAACCUGCCGUCUACUCUUGGCCAGCCUUCUGAAAGGAAGAUUAAUCCAGGAUGGCAUCAUGAGUUCACAUGUCCGCAUGAUUAAAGGUAUUUUCCGGUAGACGAUGGGGAUGCGUUCCAUUAGAUAGUAAGCGGGGUAACGGCCCACCUAGUCAACGAUGGAUAGGGGUUCUGAGAGGAAGGUCCCCCACAUUGGAACUGAGACACGGUCCAA